rnacentral:tRNA from 1 species
GGGGCUGUAGCUCAGUGGUAGAGCGCCCGCCUUGCACGUGUGAGGCAUGGGGUUUGAUCCUCAGCACCA